rnacentral:rRNA from 1 species
GGUGGCUAUAGCGAAGGGGAAACACCUGUUCCCAUCCCGAACACAGAAGUUAAGCCCUUCAGCGCCGAUGGUACUUUACUGGCAACGGUAUGGGAGAGUAGGACGCCGCCG